UGGGGCGUCGCCAAGUGGUAAGGCACGGGGUUUUGGUCCCCGCAUUCGAGGGUUCGAAUCCUUCCGCCCCAGCAA
rnacentral:tRNA from 1 species